UAGAGUUUGAUCAUGGCUCAGGACGAACGCUGGCGGCGUGCCUAAUACAUGCAAGUCGAGCGGACAGAAGGGAGCUUGCUCCCGGAUGUUAGCGGCGGACGGGUGAGUAACACGUGGGUAACCUGCCUGUAAGACUGGGAUAACUCCGGGAAACCGGAGCUAAUACCGGAUAGUUCCUUGAACCGCAUGGUUCAAGGAUGAAAGACGGUUUCGGCUGUCACUUACAGAUGGACCCGCGGCGCAUUAGCUAGUUGGUGGGGUAAUGGCUCACCAAGGCGACGAUGCGUAGCCGACCUGAGAGGGUGAUCGGCCACACUGGGACUGAGACACGGCCCAGACUCCUACGGGAGGCAGCAGUAGGGAAUCUUCCGCAAUGGACGAAAGUCUGACGGAGCAACGCCGCGUGAGUGAUGAAGGUUUUCGGAUCGUAAAGCUCUGUUGUUAGGGAAGAACAAGUGCGAGAGUAACUGCUCGCACCUUGACGGUACCUAACCAGAAAGCCACGGCUAACUACGUGCCAGCAGCCGCGGUAAUACGUAGGUGGCAAGCGUUGUCCGGAAUUAUUGGGCGUAAAGGGCUCGCAGGCGGUUUCUUAAGUCUGAUGUGAAAGCCCCCGGCUCAACCGGGGAGGGUCAUUGGAAACUGGGAAACUUGAGUGCAGAAGAGGAGAGUGGAAUUCCACGUGUAGCGGUGAAAUGCGUAGAGAUGUGGAGGAACACCAGUGGCGAAGGCGACUCUCUGGUCUGUAACUGACGCUGAGGAGCGAAAGCGUGGGGAGCGAACAGGAUUAGAUACCCUGGUAGUCCAC
rnacentral:rRNA from 1 species